GGCACUAUGCCCGAGUGGUUAAGGGGUAAGUCUCGAAUUCAUUACGGUUCGAUCGUCUAUUCUUCUAGACGAGGUAAACUUAUAGGCUCUGCCUGCGUCGGUUCAAAUCCGACUGGUGUCG
rnacentral:tRNA from 2 species